GACGAACGCUGGCGGCGUGCCUAAUACAUGCAAGUAGAACGCUGAAGAGAGGAGCUUGCUCUUCUUGGAUGAGUUGCGAACGGGUGAGUAACGCGUAGGUAACCUGCCUGGUAGCGGGGGAUAACUAUUGGAAACGAUAGCUAAUACCGCAUAAAAUUGAUUAUUGCAUGAUAAUUAAUUGAAAGAUGCAACUGCAUCACUACCAGAUGGACCUGCGUUGUAUUAGCUAGUUGGUGAGGUAACGGCUCACCAAGGCGACGAUACAUAGCCGACCUGAGAGGGUGAUCGGCCACACUGGGACUGAGACACGGCCCAGACUCCUACGGGAGGCAGCAGUAGGGAAGCUUCGGCAAUGGGGGGAACCCUGACCGAGCAACGCCGCGUGAGGGAAGAAGGGUUUCGGAUCGUAAAGCUCUGUUGUAAGAGAAGAACGGGUGUGAGAGUGGAAAGUUCACACUGUGACGGUAUCUUACCAGAAAGGGACGGCUAACUACGUG
rnacentral:rRNA from 1 species